rnacentral:lncRNA from 1 species
GACGUUCCAGAAGCACUCUGCGACUUUGGCUCUAGCGUCAAUAUUAUACCCAGGGUACUCUAUGAAAAAUUCUUUACAUAUCCUUUAUUAGAGACAACCAUGUGUUUGCAGUUUGCAGACCAGACAAUAACUUUUCCAAAAGGAAUAUUGAUGAACCUUUGUGUCCGAGUUGGUACCUUAUAUGCUCUAGCAGACUUCGUAGUGGUAGAGACCGGAAAUGAUGAGAGAGCACCUAUCAUCUUAGGGAGGCCAUUCUUGAACACCACGAGAGCUAUCAUCUACGCUAGUGCUGCCAAGAUCAGUUUCUACAUCAAAGGGAGGAAGGAGACGUUUUUCUUCAAGAACAAGACUACACAAAUCCCAGAUCAAUCCAGACGUGAAUCAAGGAAGAGGACCAACAGGAGGAACAGGAACAAACAAGUGUGGACCGAGUCAGCUAAGAUGGUCACUGUAGUUCAUGGAGGCCAGGAUCACCAACUUAAGUCACCGCUUUUGACCAAGAAGGACGACCCAGGAAUGCCAAGCAUCUACUGCUCCAUAAAUGAUACAAGUUCUACAAGGCAACUUGUGACACCGGAUCGGGCGUCAACAUAAUGGCCGCAGUCACCUAUCGGCUCUUGUUCGGGACCAUGCCCCUAAGACCAACAUACAUUCAACUCUAGAUGGCAGAUCAGACAUUCGAGAAGUUAAAGGAAUAGUAACUGAUGUCCCAGUCAAAAUAGACGAUCACUUUGUCUACACAGACUUUCAGGUUAUUGACAUGGGAGAAGACGAGUAUGAUCCACCCAUCAUCCUUGGAAGACCGUUCCUCAGCACCGUUAAAGCAAUUAUCUACAUUGGAACUAGAGAAGUCCAUAUGCACUUCCCCUCAGAGAAGGUACGCUGUUAUUUUACUGACCCAAACUAUAUCAUUGAAGAAUCUAAGCAGGUAAGAAAGCGACGCAACUGCAACCAGAGGAGGCAGAUCAUUAAGGAUGGAUGGGCAGACUAUGAAGGAGAAGUUGUAAGGUCAGAAGACGUAGAGUUUAAACAGAAUUAUCUAGAGGAGACUGAAGCACCGAGUCAGGUAUGGAAAAUGAAGAUAACUAUACAUGAAGAGGAGGCACCGCCGGAAGUACCGACUACGCCACCCAACGAACCUCAGGACAAUUAAGAAAAUGGAGAGUCCCGUUCGGAGGACUUAAAAACACCGAACGCCUUGCCAAGAGGUAAACUUGGUAGUUAUCCUUUCCCUUUCAAUUAUUUCAAAUAGUUUACUUAGUUAAUCAUGGUCGUACUAUCCUAAAAAGAAAAUAAAAAAAUAUGAAAAAACAGUAAGGCCCAUGUGACUAUACGAGUGGCAUAAAACCCAUAAGUAUAUUCACUGUGGUGGCAUAAAAAUAAAAUAAAUAUUUUUCUGCUUUAUAAAAAUAAAAAUAUAAAAAAUAGGGAGUAAUAAUUAUUAAGGAGUCUCAACAUGAUAAAGGCUAGAUAUUUAUGCUAACACUUAAUCAGUUCCACAAGCUUUGUUGUCUAUUUGAGCUCCAUAGAAUUUAAGAAUCAAGAAGACUAGCAGACGGAGGACAUUCUAAUCGCUGUUAGAAUACUGCUGACUUUCAAAUACACCUCUGCCACCUGUUAGCUACAUCAAGAGAAAUUACGUCAAAAUUCAGCUUGGGGGAGAGCACCCCUAUUUAUCUCGAUAAGUAUUUCUAUCUAUCUUUAUACUUAAAUUAUUUUAGAAUAUAAAUAUACAUAACUAUAAAAAACCAAAUAAAGAUUUUAUGCUUAUAUAUAUAUAUGUCUUUUGCUUAGUGUGUUUAAUAAAUAAAUAAAGUGUCUAUGCUAAUUUGUAUCUAAAUAAAACUUAAGCAUGGAUAUGAUGAAUAGUUGCUCUGCCUAAUUUGCACAUUUUAAGUUCUCUCUCAAGUUUAGAUACAACUGUUAUAAUUUAAAGCUUGCUCUAGACCUAAACUUGUGGGAUGAAAACUUGAUCUGAAGUCUAAGUUGUUAACGGAUACAAUAUGGGAAGGUUGAGCUGCUGUUUAUCUGUUCCUAGAGAUGCUAGAAUUCUGGAGAAUUUUAUCUUUGAAAAUCUUUAAAAUGUUGCAUGAUGAGUUCCUGUAUGAUUAGAGUUUAAAUUCCUACCACAGCCAUAUAUACAUGCUUGCUAGACUUUGAGCCACACAUUUAAUAUUUACUGCUUAUGAGCAUUGAGUGUGGUCAAGCUGUGUAGACCCUUAGGAGCUUGUCAUGUGGUUAAAUCAAGAUUUCACUUGCACGUUCACUCAUGCUACUUAUACUCCGGAAGUACCAUCCACAUAUAUCCACCCAUUUCCAUCUCCAGAAUCACCCAAAAAUAUUCUACUCCUAAUCCGGGAGAGAAUAACCAAAAAUAUUUCUGUUUUCCCUUGUGAAAUAAAUGCUCAAGUUAUCUUGUUACUACCACUUGCUAUAUUAUCUCAAGAAAUGAGUGCUCUAAAAAAAGAGAGAAAAAAUACGAGGAAAUAAAAAGGAGCAAGUGCUCGGAACCUCGAAAGAAAAGAAAAAGUGAGACGAGAGGUAAAAAUGGACAAGUGUCCGACAGUAGAAUUAGGGGUACAAGAUACCCACCUGAGAGAAAAGAAAAAAAGAAGAGCAUCUCAUUCUCCUCAUAAAUUCAAAAAGCAAGGAAGGUUUGUAUCUCCUCAAAGAGCAAAGUUGAAUUAGACUUCCACCAUCAUUGUUUUCACCAUUGUUAUCACCAUCAUCACCAUACACCAUUCAUUCGCCACACAUGCACAUCUUGAUUAAACUUAUUGAUUUGUUUCUUUGGAUCCAUGGUUUGACUAUGCAAUAAAUGUCUUGUAAGUAUGUAUACUUUAUCUCCCACCUAUGAGCUCCAGAUAUUAAAGCAUUAUUAGAGUAGGGUGAGAGAGAGAGACAAUGUCACUAUGCUUAAUACCAUAAAUACCACAUAUCUUGAGAGAAGGCAUAUACCAUCACUGCCUUGGUAAGGAUCCAGAAAUACCACAAAAGAGAGAUAUGAGAGAAUCAUACAAGAAAUCUCUGAGUUUUAUUUGAAAAUCUGCAAAAACCCCAGAGCUAUAGCUGAUCAAGAAUAAGAGACAUGGCACUUAGCUAGACUGUUCUAUCUUUUAACCACUCAAGACAGAAGUGACGGUUACAAGUCCCAUGGUGAAAGGUAAAGUAAGUAAGUUUUAAGUCUUGACAGUUUACUCUAACUCAGAGAUGAGAUCUUAUUUAAAAAGCAUGUGUACCGUCAAUUCUUUUUAAAAUAUUGCAACAACUUAUGAUCCAUAGCUGAGUCUAAACUUGCUCAGGGACGAGCAAGAGGUAAGCUUGGGGGAGUUUGUUGACGGUCCUUAAGUAUCAAAUUUAGUUAUCAAAUAAAUAAAGAAAAGGAUCCAAAUGAAAUCAACAUCUAGACUUAGGGUUUUAUCUGACAGAAUUCCACGAGUUUUGGUGUUUGUCUAUUUCUGCAGGGGGUUAUCAGGAAAUACGGAAGAAAGGCCCACACGUCGGGAUUACAUAGAGAUAUUAACGUGCCGUGCAAUUAUCUUACAUCUAGAAGACUCCAGAAGCCACGAGACCGAAGCGGAGGCGAAACGGGGCCAGAGGCAGGGCGCCCGCCCUCCAGCCCUGGGCGCCCGCCCUAUCCCUGAGUCCAAUCAGGACUCUGCUUCGUGGGAGAUCUCCACCGACCUAAAGGAUGAAUCUAAACCAUGCAAUCUAAGUCGGUUUGAUCCAACGGCCCAUAUUCACUUGAAGGGACUAUAAAACCAGAUCCCCUAGCCCCUGGAGGAGAGAGCCUCUCAACCCUAAUUCAUUGUUCUUCAAGGGAGAAGAAGCCUCUGAUCAAGAUUAGAGCCACCACAUCAAUUAGAUAUCUAGAUUAGCAUAGCUACAUAGGAUUAGAACUAGAAGGAGUCAAUCUUCGAUUGGUUUCCGAAACUGUCAAGAGGAUUCUUGGUAAUUCUCUAAUUGUGCUUCUAAUUACUUUCUAAUUAUCUUUGUUCUUCAAUAUUAUGAAUAUGACUUUGUUCUACUUCAAUAUAUUUCUUAUGACUUUGCUCUACUUGCUUAUAUUCAAGAUUAUAUUGUUCUUAGUUUAUCAUAGUUAUGUACUUGGCUUAGUUAGAUUGGAUCUAUAUACAUGCUUAGGAUCGUAUAGCGUUUAUCCAUCGGAUCCAUGGGUAAAUGAUAGAUAUUGUGUAGGCAUAGUGCUUAUACCGUAUUUAUCUGCGAUUGUACCCAAUAUGCCAGAUCGUGGGGUGGUUCGUGAUAGUGACAGCUUCAUUGAUUCUUAUAUAGUCCCCCUCUCGUGUAUUGGGCUGGCAGAGCAACAUUAUUACAGGGGAGUGAUUGCUAUGUUUCUCAUUUACCUUGCUAAUAUCACUAUGCAUGGGUGUAGUCUUGUCUCGCAAUGAUUGCUAAGUAUGCUUGCACUAACUAUGAUAAUGCUAGACUAUAUAGUUGAGAAUAACUUAGGGAAUAUUCUUGUAGUUCGUUCUAAUACCAUGCUAAUGACUUUCUAGAGUAUCUAAUUGAGGUGCUUAUCAUAUUUAUUACGUGGCUAGAUCAGAUUAAUUAUCUUUGUCACUAUUAUUAUUUCAUAUAUCUUUUAGGUGACACUUAUCCCUGUAUGAAGAGUUAGAUAUAAUGUUCUCAAUUAUACAUGCAAUGAUAGAUGCUCAAUCUCAUAUUCUAUUCUGUAAUCAAUAGUGAUAAUUCCUAAUCCCUUCCCAGUGGUAAAAAUAUAAAUAACGAUACCUGGAAUACUUCCCGGUUAAAAUGCUACAUCGGUAUUAAUCUGUGCGCUUGCAGAUCCCAUUCAUUAUUUAUUUAGAAGAGCAAUUGCAUAUUUCAAUACCGCAUCUCUCAUGUCAUGCUGGGGAUGACAACUUGGCUUAAGUGGUGUGAGGGAUAGGUUUGGCAUUUUUGGCACCGUUACUAGAUUUAGAGAACUUAGUCUACUUUUGGUAAUGAUGUUAAGAAUACCCAACAACCGGAAGGUACAAAGUGAGGAUGAGAGUAGUGAAAGUGAUAGUGAAUUUGAACCACCAUCUUAUGAUGAACUUGUAAAGUUGCUUAACAAGUACACAAAAGUCAUAAGAAAAUCUAGAAGUGAAAAUGAAAAGCUUGAACUUCAAAAUGAAGCACUUCUAGCAAAGCUUAAGUCUAGUGAUGAGCUUAGAGACCAAAAUGAGAUCAUGACCACUAAGCUCAAGGAGCUCAAACUCUCUUUAAAAGAGCUCAAAGAAAAAAAUGAUAAACUUGAGAGUGUUCAUGAUGAGCUUAUCACUAGAUAUAGAGCAAUAAAAGACGAGCUAACAACUCUAAAAGCAAACUAUGACAACCUUGAGAUUGCUUAUGAACUUGCAAUUGAUGAAAGACAUGUUGCUACUAACCAUGUUGCUAAGCUUGAUGUAGCCACAUCUUGUGAUGACUUACUUAUGGAGAGCACAAGAAAAUGUGUUGAUUGCAAGGGCAAGAAAGUGGUAGUGGCCGAGAGCUAUGAGGAUACUAUCAAGCUCAAGGAUGAAAUUGUCAUGCUCAAGAAAGAGUUGCAAGAACAAGCCAAGCACAAGACCAUUGUGAUUGAGUCACUUGAUCAAGACAAGAAGCUUGCAUAUGAGAACAAGUUACUCAAGGAAGAAAAUCAAUAUCUCAAGCUUGUUUUGAUGUAUGACAAGCAAGAAGAGGAUGAGACAUUCAUCUUGGAUGAGUUAGCUAGCAACAAUGACCUAAUCAUCAAGAAGCUAACUCAAGAGAAUAGCAAGCUCAAGAAAGAGAAGGAACACCUAACCAUGGGGUUAGCAAAGUUCACAAAAGGGAAGGACCUUCAAAGUGAGAUUUUUAUGAACACCGUCAUGAAGAUGGAUAAGAGUGGGAUUGGCUACAAGGCUCAUCAAACAAAGCUCAUCAAGUCACUAGCCACUCAUGAUCAACCAAGCAAGCCAAAGCCAAAGAGAUGCUUUGAGUGUGGUCAAGAAGGACACUUUGCUCAUGAGUGUAAGGCACCACUACCACCACCCUUGCCCAAGCAUGCAAGACCAUUUGCCUUCAAUGCUCACUACAUUGUAAGGAAAGACAAGAGUGGCAAGGUCAAGGUUAGCUUCAUGGGGCCUCCUAACAAGCAAAGGCCAAAGAAUAUUUGGGUGCCAAAGCAACUAGUAGAGAAGGUCAAGGGCCCUAAGCAAAUGUGGGUCCCAAAAUCUCAAGCUUGAUCUCUUGUGUGUAGGUGAACUACAAGACCGGUGGAUCACAUUGGGUAAUUGAUAGUGGUUGCACUCAACAUAUGAUCGGAGAUCCCCGGAUGUUCACCUCUCUUGAUGAAGAUGUUGACAACCAAGAGAAGAUCACAUUUGGUGACAAUUCAAAAGGCAAGGUCAAGGGACUAGGAAAGGUUGCUAUAUCAAAUGACAACUCCAUCACCAAUGUGCUCUAUGUGUAAUCAUUGAGUUUCAACUUGCUCUCGGUAGGACAACUUUGUGAUCUUGGAUUUGAAUGCCUAUUCAAAAAGAAGGAAGUAAUUGUGACCAAGGAAGAUGACAAUGAAGUGAUAUUCAAAGGCUUCCGACACAACAACUUAUAUGUAGUUGAUUUCACAUCCGAUGAAGUUGAUGUUAAGACUUGCUUAUUCACCAAGACUUCACUUGGGUGGUUGUGGCAUAGAAGGUUAGCACAUGUUGGAAUGGGCACACUCAAGAAGUUGAUGAAGAAAGAAUUGAUUAGAGGCUUGAAGGAUGUGACAUUUGAAAAGGACAAGCUUUGUAGUGCAUGUCAAGCCGGCAAGCAAGUUGCAAACACUCAUCCAACCAAGGCCUAUCUCUCUACUUCAAGAGUGCUUGAGCUACUUCACAUGGAUUUAUUUGGACCAACCACAUAUGCUAGUCUUGGGGGCAACAAAUAUUGCUUGGUCAUAGUUGAUGACCUCUCCCGGUACCUUGGACAUUCUUCUUGCAAGACAAGGCUGAAGUUGCAUCAAUAUUCAAGAAGUUUGCAAAGAAUGCCCAAAAUCAAUUUGAUGUCAAGAUCAAGAAAAUUAGAAGUGACAUUGGCAAAGAGUUUGACAACACCAACAUUGAAGAGUAUUGUGAUGAAGUGGGAAUCAAGCAUGAGUUCUCCUCAACAUACACACCACAACAAAAUGGGGUUGUAGAAAGAAAGAACCGGACAUUGAUCACCUUGGCAAGAACAAUGCUAGAUGAGUACAACACUUCGGAGAAGAUGUGGGCUGAGGCAAUCAACACCGCAUGCUAUGCUUCAAACCGGCUCUUUCCUCACAAGUUCCUAGAGAAGACACCAUAUGAGUUGCUCAAUGGGAAGAAGCCCGAUGUCUCAUUCUUUAGAUUGUUUGGGUGCAAAUGCUACAUCUACAAGAAGCGCCAACACUUGGGAAAGUUCCAAAGAAGAUGUGACGUUGGCUACUGUUGACAGUCCUUAAUGCUCACAUUUAACCAUCAACUAAUCAUAGAAAAGGAUCCAAAUGCAACCAACACCUAGACUUAGGGUUUUAUCUGACAGAAUUCCACGAGUUUUGGUGUUUGUCUAUUUCUGCAGGGGGUUAUCAGGAAAUAUGAAAGAAAGGCCCACACGUCGGGUUUACAUAGAGAUAUUAACGUGUCACACAAUUUUCUAUCAUCUAGACGACUCCAGAAGCCACGGGAACGAACGGGAAGGAAAUCGGGCUCGGAGGCAGGGCGCCCGCCCAGCUACAGUGCCCAAUGAGGACACGUUUCGCGGAUCAUGCUCCACCGACCUAAUACUUCAAGGAAAACCACACAAUCAAUGUCGGUUUGAUCUGACGGCCCAGAUUCACUUGAAGGGACUAUAAAACCAGACCCCCCUGGCCCCUGGAGAUCAUACCUCUUCUACAGAAUCAAAGUUAGGGUUUCAAUUCUUCAUCCAAGUAGAGAGGAUCCCUCUAGUUCUUCUAGUUCUACAUCUAGUUCAUCUAGAUCUAGUUCUAGUUCUAGUUCUUCUAGUUCUAGUUCUAGUUAGUUCUAGUUGUAAUCUAGAAAAUAGGGAGAGAGAAGAGGAGAGCGGAGGAGGAGCCGGAUCUGUCGGAUCUUCCUCAACAUUAUACUUUUGAAGCAACUGGUUUGUCCUUCAUCGUUCUCCAGGUUCUUCAAUUCAUAAUUCCUGAGUUCUUUAAUUACUUUUAUUUACAUUCAAGUUAUUUAUUGGAUUCCCGCUUGCAUCAAGUGCUCUAGUCUUUGUAACGCUAGAGUAGUAAUUAAUAGAUUAGACAUGGUGUUUAGUCUUGCAAUUACCUGGAAUUGCACCCAAUCCUGCGGAUUGUUGUGGUAGCCUUAGGGUAGUGACAGCCCUAACGGUCGACGUAUUCCACCAUGUUCGGAUCGGUGUUUGUAGGACCGUAGUCAGACCUUCCUAGCCCCCUUCUCAUCUCUUUCUGUGGUUAGUGCUCUGAUGUCCCGAUAUAGAUAAUCUUGAAGUAAUUCUUGAUUCUUAGAUCAACUAGAGAACUCUCAGGAAACUUCCUCUCUUCCCACCAAAAAUAUUCAUAUAGUUAUCCUUGGGCGAUCUUGGAUCUUAAUUAGUACACUCACGUUCUCUGUGGAAAAUCGAUACUCUGGAAUACUCCCGGGUGAAGGCUACAUCGGUAUCCGUGCGCUUGCGGAUUUUUCUGUUUGCGUUUAAAAUACCCAACAAGUUUUCUGGCGCCGUUGCCGGGGAACGGUAGUUGUGCUAGUUUCGAACCAAGUCGUCCGUGUAUCCUUUUUCUUUUCCCUUUUUUACCACACUCACCUUACCAUUUUCACCACACCACAUGGAUUUCACUCUAAGCAUUAAUGAGCAUGGAAUUUAUUUCAUAGCCACUUCAUUUACUCCGUGCUCAUAUGCAACAUCUUCACAAUCCAUUGGUCUCUCCAACAUCACCACAUUCGAGAUCUCCAACCCCCACUUCCUUUCUAUUUAUAAAAACUUUAAAAGGGCGGUUGUCGAUGCAUAUGUCUAUAAUAAAUUUUGCAGAUCUCGUUGAGUUGAUCUUGAUAUAGGUCAGCGUUGGAGGGGAAACCACUUCGCUGACAUAAAUUAAUGGUUUCCCAAGGACAAGCUUAGUGUCCUAAAACAAGCACUGAUCAGAUCAUAACAUGAGCUUUUAAUUAUUUGCAACAUUACCUUGUGUUUUGAGCAUAUAAGGAUAAUUGUAAAAAAAUUCCUUCGGGUAUUCUUGUCACUAACCUUUACAUGAUUAGAGCAAGAAGAUCGGAUGAAUGACAAGCACAAGGUAUGUCCAACCAAUCAUCAUACAACAUUGAAUUAAAUUCAUCCAAACUUGAAUUUUGCAAAAUUCAAGCUUGGGGGAGUACUAUACAUAAAAACAUCAUUUGCCAUGUUGCUAUGUUGGUUGUCCCUACCUUUGAGACAUGCUCAAUUUGUUAAAUAGUAAUCACACUACUUCAUCUCUACUUGAGUAGAUCUUUAUAAAAGCCAUCACGCUACCUUUGUUUAUCCUAGUAAGUGUUAGUUUGGAAGUACUGUAAAUACUUCUAUUGGUUUUUAAAUUAAGCAUGGUGCUUAGGUUAAAUAGCCUUCCUUAAUCUAAUUAGACAUGGAGUCUAGUUUGGUUAUUGAACUAAAAACUGCUUGUGUAGACAUUGGUAUAUUUUGUCAGACUAACCCCUGUAGAAAAAAAAACUUUCAAUAUCGACCUGGGAAGUCCUGAGAUAAACUCACAUUGGAGACAAAGAGAGACACACAUGAAGGUUAACAAUUUACAAAGGAAUGCAUAGCUCACAAGAGAUGAUCCAUGGAGGGUGCCACAAACACGAUGCACAACCGCUAAGAAAGGAAAGCUUCCACAAGGUGAUACUGUACCAUCACUCUUCAAGUAAGGUAACAUCUUAAAGUACUUGACUAUCACUUUUAUAAGCUUCUCCUUGGUUCUGACGUUCAUAUGAAUAAAAGAGACAAACAUGUAUGAUUUAUAACUCUAGAUUAACCAACCCAAUCGAUUCAACAUGUUUAGUCCUUCCACCUUUGUGAUCUCACACUCCUAAUCAUAUGAACUAAAAUGUUGCACACUCAAUCUUUGGAAAAUGAUAGUCAUGUAAAGAAAAAAAGCAUUUACUUAGAUAGAUUAUCUUUUCAUAAGGUUGAGUGAUCUGAUCUGACAAAUGUUUUAAAUGCUACACUCAUGAUCUUAUUAUCCAUCAACUUUGUCUUGCUCACUAUGCUUAAGCUUAGAGAAGAACAAAUACACUUUUGGUUCUGUUGGUGUUUUCCACCAACAGGACCCAUGCACUUGAUCUCUGCCUUGUCUCUAUGAGCAGGUACACUUCGAGCAAAAUAUGAAAGAGUUUUACAACUACCAGACUCCACCAAGUGAAGAACCUAGAUAUACGAGCACAAACACACUGGAGAUACUGGACACCCAUGCAAUCACUGCCCUGAGAUGCUUGAGGACGCAACUAGUGGAGUAACCCCAUUGUGGAAGUAAUUACUGACCUUCUGCCGGUCUAGAGAGACAAUCCAGGACGCCCCGUCAUCCCGAUCUUCAUCGGCAUGAUGGACUUCCUAGAUGCACUCUGCAACUUUGGCUCCAGCGUCAACAUUAUGCUCAGGGUACUCUAUGAAAAAUUCUUUACACAUGCUUUCCUAGAAACAACCAUGUGUUUGCAGCUUGCAGAUCAGACACUAAGUUUCCCAAAGGGAAUAUUGAAGAACCUCUACGUCCGAGUUGGUACCUUAUACGCUCCAGCAGACUUCGUGGUGAUAGAGACUGAUACUGAUGAGAGGGCACCCAUCAUCCUAGGGAGGUCAUUCCUGAAUACCUCGGGAGCUAUCAUCUACGCUAGUGCUGCCAAGUUCAGUUUCUACAUCAAAGGGAGGAAGGAGACGUUUUCCUUCAAGAAUAAGACUACACAAAUCUCAAAGCAAUCCCGACAUGAACCAAGGAAGAGGACCAACAGGAGGAACAGGACCAAGCAAAUGUGGACCGAGUCAGCUAAGAUGGUCACUACAGUUCAAGGAGGUCAAGAUCGUCGAUUCAAGUCACCUUUCUUGAUCAAGAAGGACGACCCUGGUGUUCCAAGCAUCGACUGCACAAUCAACGGAUAUUCUUUUCAGAAGACACUCUACGACACCGGAUCUAACGUCAACAUAAUGGCCGCAGUCACUUAUCAGCUCCUGUUUGGAACCAUGCCCCUAAAACCAACAUACAUUCAGCUCCAGAUGAUUUUAAGGUUAUUGACAUGGGAGAAGACGAGUAAGAUCCACCCAUCAUCCUUAGGAGACCAUUCCUCAGCACCGUUAAAGCAAUCAUCUACAGUGGAACUGGAGAAGUCCACAUGCACUUCCUCUCUAAGAAGGUACGCCACUAUUUUACUAACCUUAACUAUAUAGUUGAAGACUCUAAGCAGGUCAGGACAAGAAGAAGACGACACAACCGCAACCAGAGGAGGAAAAUCAUCAAGGAUGGAUGGGCGGACUACGAAGGAGAAGUGCACCGAGUUAGGCGUAGAGAAAGAAGAUAGUUAUACAUGAAGAACAGGCGCCGUCGGAACCACCAACUACUCUAUCCAGCGAAUCCCAGGACGACUGAGAAUACGGAGAGUCCCGUUCGGAGGACUUAAAAACACCGAACGCCUUGCCAAUAGGUAAACUUGGUAGUUAUCUUUUUCCUUUCAAUUAUUUAAAAUAGUUUGCUUAGUUAAUCUGGUUCAUAUCAUCUUGAAAAGAAAAUAAAAAUGUUAAAAAUAGUAAGCCCCAUGUGAGUAUGCUCAUAGCAUAAAACCCAUAAGUAUAUUCACUGUGGUGGCAUAAAAAUAAAAUAAAUAUUUUAUUUCUGCUUUAUAAAAUAAAAAUAUAAAAACAGGGAGUAACAAUUAUUAAGGAGUCUCAACAUGAUAAAGGCUAGAUAUUUAUGCUAACACUUAACUAGUUCCACAAAACUUUGUUAUCUAUUUGAGCUCCACAGAAUUCAAGGAUCAAAGAAGACUAGCAGACGGAGGACAUCCUAAUUGCUAUCAGAGUGCUGCCGACAUUCAAAUACACCUCCGCCACGUGCUAGCUACAUCAGAAGAAAUUACGUCAAAAUCCAGCUUGGGGGAGAGCACCCCCAUUUAUCCAGCUAAGUAUUCUACUCACGUUUAUACUUUACUCUAAUAAUAAAAAGAUGCAUAAUCAUAUAAACCCAAAUAACGAUUUUGUGCUUACAUAUAUAUCUUUGCUUAGUUUGCUAAAUAAAUAAAUAAAUAAAGUUUGCUAUGAAUCCUCAUGAUAAGCUCUCACAUGCAAAUGAUGAAUAGUUGCUCUGCCAUGACUAGUUCUUAAAAUUGAAAUCUCUCUCAAGUUUAGGCAUUACUGGUAUUAAUUAAGAUUUGCUCUAAACCUGAACUUGUGGGGAGAAUACUUGAUCUAAAGUCUAAGUCGUUAACGGAUAUGAUAUGGGAAGGUUGAGCUGCUGUUUAUCUGUUCCUAGAGAUGCUAGAAUUCUGGAGAAUUUUAUCUUUGAAAAUAUUUAAAAUAACACAUGAUGAGUUCCUGUAUGAUGAGAGUUUAAAUUCCUACCACAGCCAUAUAUAUACAUGCUUGCUAGACUUUGAGCCACUCAUUUACUUUUUACUGCUUAUGAGCAUUGAGUGUGGUCAAGCUGUGUAGACCCUUAGGAGCUUGUCAUGUGGUUAAAUCAAGAUUUCACUUGCACGUUCACUCAUGCUACUUAUACUCCGGAAGUACCAUCCACAUAUAUCCAUUUCCAUCUCCAGAACCAGCCAAAAAUAUUCUACUCCUAAUCCGGGAGAGAAUAGCCAAAAACAUUUCUGUUUUCCCCUGUGAAAUAAAUGCUCAAGUUAUCUUGUUACUACCACUUGCUAUAUUAUUUCAUGAGAUGAGUGCUCUCUAAAAAAAAUAAGAAAAAAAAAGAAAAAAAAGAGAUACGAGGAAAUAAAAAGGGGCAAGUGCCCGGAACCUCGAAAGAAAAGAAAAAGUGAGACGAGAGGUAAAAAUGGACAAGUGUCCGAUAGUAGAAUUAGGGGUACAAGUUACCCACCUGAGAGAAAAGAAAAAGAAAAUAUAGAGCAUCUCAUUCUCCUCAAAAAGUUUCAAAAGAGCAAGAAAGGUAUGUACCCCCUCAAAAGAGCACAAGUAGAAUUAGACUUUCACCAUUGUUAUCACCAUCAUCACCAUACACCAUUCAUUCGCCACACAUGCACAUCUUGAUUUGACUUUUUGACUUGUUCUUCUGGAUCCAUGGUUUGACUAUGCAAUAAAUGUCUUGUAAGUAUGUAUUAGCUGUCUCCCACCUAUGAGCUCCAGAUAUCAAAAGCCUUAUUAGAGUAGGGUGAGAGAGAAGGCAAUGUCACUAUGCCUCAUACCAAAAAUACCACAUACUUUGAGAGAAGGCAUACACUAUUAUUGCCUUGGUAAGGAUCCAGAAAUACCACAAAAGAGAGACUAGAGAGAGUCAUACAAGGAAUCUCUAAGUUUUAUUUGAAAAUCUGCAAAAACUCUAGAGCUAUAGUUAAUCGAAGAACAAGAGACAUGGCGCUUGACUAGACCGUUCUAUCUUUUAACUCCUCAAGACAGAAGUGACGGUUCUAAGUCCCAUGGUGGAAGGUAAAAUGAGUAAGUUUAAAUCUUAACAGUUUACCCUAACCCAGAGAUGAGAUCUUGUUUGAACGCAUGUGUAUCUUUAAGGCAUGAAACCACUGCAGAAACUCUUGAGUCCAUCUUUGCUCAGGGACGAGCAAAGGUUAAGCUUGGGGGAGCUUGUUGACAGUCCUUAAUGCUCACAUUUAACCAUCAACUAAUCAUAGAAAAGGAUCCAAAUGCAACCAACACCUAGACUUAGGGUUUUAUCUGACAGAAUUCCACGAGUUUUGGUGUUUGUCUAUUUCUGCAGGGGGUUAUCAGGAAAUAUGAAAGAAAGGCCCACAUGUCGGGUUUACAUAGAGAUAUUAAUGUGUUGCACAAUUUUCUAUCAUCUAGAAGACUCCAGAAGCCACGGGAACGAACGGGAAGGAAAUCGGGCUCGGAGGCAGGGCGCCCGCCCAGCUACAGUGCCCAAUCAGGACACGUUUCGCGGAUCAUGCUCCACCGACCUAAUACUUCAAGGAAAACCACACGAUCAAUGUCGGUUUGAUCCGACGGCCCAGAUUCACUUGAAGGGACUAUAAAACCAGACCCCCUGGCCCCUG